ensembl:misc_RNA Metazoa_SRP Metazoan signal recognition particle RNA
GCCGGGUGUGGUGGCGCACACCUGUAAUCCCAGCUACUUGGGAGGCUGAGGCAGGAGAAUCGCUUGAACCCAGGAGGCAGAGGGUGCCGUGAGCUGAGAUCGCCCCACUGCACUCCAGCCUGGGUGACAGAGUGAAACACCACCUCAA